AUCCCUUGUCGGCCUUUUGGCUAAGAUCAAGUGCAGUAUUUGUUCUUAUCAGUUUAAUAUUUGAUACGUGGGGCAAUGCCUCACACGAUAAAAAAUUUAAUUUUUUUCGAGGGAAAGUCCACCACAAUAGCUUGCUAUCGGGACCUUCAUGUGUCGCAUUUGCGUUGCACUACUGCAAGGGCUUCGCACACCUCAG